GGGAAGUACAAGUCCCUAGUGAUACGCCAAAAGCUGAAAGGAAGGAAGACAUAGAUGCUGCACAAGAUACUCAAGUUAAAGAAAGAGAAGAGGAGAAGGUAAAGUCUCCUGAAGUUUCCACAGUUGUAUCCAAGACAGCCCAGGCUGAGGACAUUGAAAGUGAAUUGCAUGAACAUCAUGAAGAUGAAAAUAAACAAGAGGGA
rnacentral:misc_RNA from 1 species